rnacentral:rRNA from 1 species
CUACGUGCCAGCAGCCGCGGUAAUACGUAGGUGGCAAGCGUUGUCCGGAAUUAUUGGGCGUAAAGCGCGCGCAGGCGGAUCAGUCAGUCUGUCUUAAAAGUUCGGAGCUUAACCCCGUGAUGGGAUGGAAACUGCCAAUCUAGAGUAUCGGAGAGGAAAGUGGAAUUCCUAGUGUAGCGGUGAAAUGCGUAGAUAUUAGGAAGAACACCAGUGGCGAAGGCGACUUUCUGGACGAAAACUGACGCUGAGGCGCGAAAGCCAGGGGAGCGAACGGGAUUAGAUACCCCGGUAGUCCUGGCCGUAAACGAUGGGUACUAGGUGUAGGAGGUAUCGACCCCUUCUGUGCCGGAGUUAACGCAAUAAGUACCCCGCCUGGGGAGUACGACCGCAAGGUUGAAACUCAAAGGAAUUGACGGGGGCCCGCACAAGCGGUGGAGUAUGUGGUUUAAUUCGACGCAACGCGAAGAACCUUACCAGGUCUUGACAU